GAUCUGUCCACCUUGCCGCGCCCCCCGGGCUGAGGUAGGAGGUUGUAUAGUUGAGAAGGACACCCAAGGAGAUCACUAUACGGCCUCCUAGCUUUCCCCAGGCUGCGCCCUGCACGGGACAGGGCGG
rnacentral:pre_miRNA from 13 species